AUGACUACUACCACCACUUUGGCAUCUUCGUCAAGUGUUAUCAGGGCAUCUUCGCCUUUGGACGUACGGCAUCUUCGCCUACCUCCGACGAGUACGCCUACAUUGGCCUUCAUCCACGGCGAUGAUGACGAGAUGAUCGAGCAUGCGACUUUCCCUUCCUUCAUGGAGGAGCGCGAUGAUGUGCCAUCUUUGGCAUUCAUCCACGGCGACGACGACGAGAUGGUUGAGCAUGGGAUUUUCCCUUCAACCACGGCGACGUAUGAUGACUUGAGUGACUUGUGCCACCAUAUUGAGAGCGAGAGUGACUUCACCACUAGCCCCAUAUAUGAUGAGUUGCCACAAUUCCCAUGUGAGGAGAGCCACAACCCCCACCACUUGACUGAGAUGAGUGAUUCCACCAUAUGUGAUGUUGAGUCCACCUAUUUUGAGGGAGUGAGUGAACAACCACAUAGAGAGAGUGUGAUAGUUGAUUGGGCAUGUGAGGCCACUAUGAUUUCUAACGACUUAACCUCUACAUCCAUUGUGUCUUCUCCUUUGGUGCUAGGUCCCAUAUAUGAUGACGCGCCGAUUCGCGACGACUUCGUCCUUCCUUUGGACAAGACGAUGGCCAUGGUGGCAUAUGAUGCACCCCCCACAUGGUUCCAUCAAGAUGAAGAUGACCACCAUUUGGUCUUUGCCACCUCACCUACACAACAUGAGCGGAUUGAGAAAGAUACCCAUACUUACUCGUCAAGCUCGCAAGACCAUGAGUUGACGAAAUGA
rnacentral:rRNA from 1 species